GUCCUCUUAGUAGAAUGAUGCUGG
rnacentral:piRNA from 1 species